UUUCCGUAGGUGAACCUGCGGAAGGAUCAUUACCGAGUUUACAACUCCCAAACCCCAUGUGAACCUUACCAAACGUUGCUUCGGCGGGAUGCCCCGGGCGCGGGCCGCAAGGCCUCAGCCCCGGAACCAGGCGCCCGCCGGAGGCCCAAACCAAACUCUUGUUUUUGUAGAAUCUUCUGAGUGGCCUUUUAGGCAAAAAAUGAAUCAAAACUUUCAACAACGGAUCUCUUGGUUCUG
rnacentral:misc_RNA from 1 species